ACUACUGUUAACUGUAAAAACACAUGGAAAAUGAAAAUAAAAACAACUGUCAAAGUGUCAAUUUAAUAAACAUAAACUUUAAAGUUUUGCAAUGCAAAAUUUGCAUAGAAAACCUCAAACCAAUAUAUUACACACAUGUGAAACAUCCACCUCAUUAAUUCAUCUGAAAAAGUUAUCAUAUAAAAAUUAAAACCACUGGAAAUAGAAAAUACAAAUAUUUCCGGUUUUUGUAAAUCAUAUUUACAUUACAUUGCACAUUGUUCAGCAGUUCAGCACAAGUUGUAACUUGUAAAUGAAAACUGAUAACCACAGAUUAUAGAAAUCGGGAUGUCAAAAGCAAGACGACUUUAUCGAUGCAAAAUCUGCGGAAUUUUCCUUUCUAGAAGGGAAAAAAUUUUAUCACAUUUCUUCGACAGACAUAGUUCGGGUCAGGACUCGUUUGAAGAGGUGGUGCUGCCAGAUCUGAAAAUCAACGUGACAAGACAGCGGACAACAACAAACAAAAAUGUACCAGAAACGAUACUACUACCCGACAAUAUGCCCAUAAAAUUUGAGCCUAAUUACGAAGAUUUAGAAAAUAUUGCAAGUCCUAAUUUUACUUUUGGUGAGGAUGAUGAUGACAGCAGUGCAAAUGAGAAAUACUCAUUUCGCAUAAACCCGGACAUUACCGUACGAGAAGAUUCAGAAUUAAUUAAUCAAAGUGUUAAGGCUGAAGACACCCCUCCUACCAGACGAACUUUGAGACCACGAAACCGAAGGAAAAUUAGGGAACGUGCAAAUUCUGACAAGGACGAGGAGCAAGACGACGAGAGUAGGGACAAUGAAUUUCAGGUUGGUGAACCAGACCAUGAAUUCGACUCGGAAGAUGACCAAUUCUUGGAACACAACACUAAACCAAAGCGGAAACGAAAGUCCAUUAGCACCAAGAUUAACAUUAACAAUGGCGUUGCAUUGAUGACAACCAAGAUUAAACUUGACGACGCCGUAGCAAAGGUCAAUGGCAAUAAAACACCGUCCAGUAGGAAGAAGAAUAGCUGUCCGUACUGUCCAGCUAAAUUGACUAGCGUUCUCCGUUUAGACGUUCAUAUACAACAAGUUCAUCAAGGUGUUGAGCCCUUCAAGUGUGAAAUUUGUCAAAAAUCGUUCAAAAGCUUUAGGGCUGUCCUUCUCCACAUCGACAUUAGACAUCAACCCCACACAACUAUCGCACCUCAACAAACCGAUCAUGACCAAGACUCUGCUCUGUCGAAUCAUAAACUCGACACGGAACAUUUAUUUGACAAAAUUUUCAAAGUUGAAGAAUUCCAGACUAACACAGAAGUUCUUCAAAUUGAACCAGAAACUAUACCAGAAGAAUAUACCCGAAAAAAGAAAAAGAGCUACGAAGGAAAAUUCUGCUGCAAACAUUGUCGUUAUCACUUUGCACAAGAGUGGGUCCUUAAUGCUCACAUUCUGCGCUAUCAUUACGGGGAUAAAAAUGCAUUUCCUUGCGAUCACUGUUCGAGAAGGUUCCAAAGAAAAACCAAGCUUUACAUGCAUCGUAAAAUCUCUCAUCCUUCUAUUUCCACCCCCUACACAGGACCGAAAAUUUCCUUACAAGAACAAAUAUUCCAACUAAAAUCUAGAGGAUUAAAGGAUAAAAUCAAACCUUACCCUUCUGUAAAAUCUGCCCCCGUGGAAAAAUUUACUUGUAAAAUUUGCCAAGUUACUCUUCCGUCCCGUACGAGUUGUGAAAUCCACUUGUCCCGUGUACACCAAACCGACCAGACAAAAUUAUUUCCCUGUGAUAAAUGUGACCUGAUCUUCCUGACCGAGUCAGGUCGGAAAAUCCAUCUCGACCACUUUCACGAGAAAAACAUCUCGACCAAAUUACACCCAUUGGUAUGUUCGGUAUGCAACAAAGAAUGUGCAAGCGUACUAGCCUUCUCUCGACAUCAGGAAAUCUUUCACUCUAAUUGCCCUCGUCUCCCGAAAGAACACCUGUGCGAACUAUGCUCCCAAGCCUUUACCAUAUUAUUUGACCUCAAACAACACCAGGUUCGCGUCCAUCACGCCGAGUUGGGAGUGGAUCCCUUAAAGUGUUCGCAUUGUGGGAAAGUAUUAAAUUCAAAGAGAAGUUUGAAAAGUCACGAAGCUUUGCAUGGCGACACUCUUCCCUUCGUUUGCACUCGAGCCCCUUGUACGAGAGGAUUUUUACAAGAGGCAGAUUUAGAACGACAUGUCAAAGCGGUCCACCUCAAGGAAAAGAACUUUGUGUGCGAAUUUUGCUCCAAGGCGUUUGCUCAGAAACCAAAUCUGAUAACGCACUUGAGAACACACACGGGUGAAAAGCCCUACAAGUGUAAGUCGUGUGGGAAAGAGUUUUCUGAUAAGCCGACGUACAACAGACAUGUUCAAAUUCAUGGGGAUACCGUUCACACGUGUGACAAGUGUGGGAAGAAGUUUAAGGUGUGGCAUACGUACAAGGUUCAUCUAAAGACGCACAAUUAGUUGAUUAAUUAAGGUCUUGACUGUAAUGAUUUUAUAUUUAUUGCGAAUAUUGUGAGUAAUUCAAUGUUUAGAAAAGUACAAUUUAUAUUGCAAUUUUCAAAUUGUUUUUAAAAACAAACUAAUCUGGGUAAUAAAUAAAUGUUUUACUACCUCAUUUCUCGUUACUUAUGUGGAAUCUAUCUAUAAUCAUUUAAAGUUGCAUUUAGUUAAUCCACAUAAAAUUUAACUUGCAAAUAAAAUAAAAAUUCAGCCGUGAGUUUGACUUCAUCUACUAUUCAUGGUGGGCAUUAUUAUUUAUUUAGCAUUUACUUUGCAUAACGGUGGAUUGUUUUAGUCAUUUAGUAACUAAUGACACAAUUUCCAUUACGUGACAUUUUCGAUAUAUGUCAUACUGAAUAACCUUAAUUUUGUAUUAUGCAUAUGUAUGUAUUUGCUUUCUAAUUUGAAGCUUUGACAGAAGUAUUGUAGUUUCCAAACCUGCCUAUCAUCUACUUAAGUAUGUAUGUACAUGCAUAUUUUAGAUGUGUGAUAUAUAUUUCGAACGACAGUGUACAUAUUUCUGCCUAUUACAUAAUUGAUUUGUAUAAAGAUAUUGUAAAUAUACGAAUUUCACUUCCGUAAUUUGUGACAAAAAAUUGAUUGAAACUUUCUUGAUUAACGUAGUUCCUCUGUUGUAUGUAUUUGUUUGUGAAUCACAAGUUGCGAUUGCAAAAAAUAUAUAUUUGCACUUUAGCUUCAAUAGUAGAUAUUUUCAAAAAUUAAUUAAUUUCACAUAUGUAUGAAACCUUUCAUCGAAAAUCAAAACGGUUUGAUCUAAUUAAAUACUUGCGAACAGUAAUGUUACUCUUAUAUAAAUUGUUUACUCCAAGUCAGUAAAACGCAAUAAAACAUAAAUUCCA